rnacentral:lncRNA from 1 species
AUGGGGAAACCGAGGCACAGAGAGGUGAAUUUCUUUUUUCAAGAUGAUGAUGGUGUAAGUACUGGUUAUAGAUUGGACUUGAACCGAGAAUCCAUGCAUUUAACCAUAAUCUCUCUGAUCCAGUUCCCUUAUCUCUUUAAAAACGGAUGUUGGCGUUCCUGUCCUGGCUUAGUGGUAACAAACCCGACUAGUAUCCAUGAGGACAUGGGUUCAAUCCCUGGCCUCGCUCAGUGGGUUAAGGAUCUUCUGGCGUUGCCACGAGCUGUGGUGUAGGUCACAGAUGCGGCUGGGAUCUGGCGUUGCUAUGGCUGUGGUGCAGGCCAGCAGCUGCAGCUCUGAUUCCACCCCCAGCCUGGGAACUUCCAUAUGCCGCAGGUGCGGCCCUAUAAAAAGGGGGGGGGCAAAAAAAAGAAAAAUGGAAAGGUAACUGCAGAUCUCAAAAAUUCUGAGCCAUCUGGAAGGUAGUAAUUCAGUUGCAAGCUAGGACCUGUCGACCCGUCUCCCAAUUGUAUUCUGGUGUAAUUUCCCUAAGAAAUAAGACAAAGAUAAACAAAGCGCAGACUAAAGCCCUGGACAAACCUAGAUGGUGGGUUUGAGAAAGAAGCUAGAAUGUUGCACUAGUGCUUUGUGAUAAUGAAGAGUCCAAGCCACAGCGACUAAUCAGCAGGUAAGGACCUGUUUCAAAAUCGUCAUGUCAGGUCCUUACCUGCUGAGGAGUCAGAUCCAUAAAGGCUCUAGAAAGAGCCUGUCCCGGGAGUUCUAAGGAGGAGGUCAGCUUUGCUGCUAACGCUUUGGUCCACAACCCCUUCACCUGUACUCAGCCUCGUCUUUCUUGCCCGUGCCCCCUCUCCUACCGCCCCCACCCCCGCCCCCAGACAGGCCUUCUGCUGCUGAAGAAAAGAAUCUGAAAGUAGAGCCACAGUCCACAAAGCUGACAGGGACAAGCAGGUGAUGGCAAUCCUAAGGUCCCCGUAGAAACAGCCGCCCACCCCCUCCGCCGUCAAACAGCCCACUUCCCUUGGUGUUAUUUGCAGACCCGAGCAAAGCCUUCUUGGCCUCCUAGCCUUUGGGGGUCACGAGCAGACUUGCCAAAUCAAGCUUUAGGCUCCAAGUUCGCAGCGAUUUUCCCACACCCACCGGAAGAGCUGCACUGGCUGUGGGGCCCAAAGCCAAUGGCAGAGAGGAUGGAGCCACCUGUAACGGGGGAGGCGUAGAUGGGUUAUCUGGGUCUCACCAGACCCUGAUCUGAAACAAGAGGAGCCAAGGCCAGCACUCCAGCUCUGAUAGGGGAAGGGGCGCUGGAGGCCAAGGAGAUGGGGUGAAAAGACUCACCUUCCUUACCUGAGAAAUCAGGGACCAGCUAUCAUAGGGAAAUCGCCC